GGGAGGAAAGGAGAGAAGUCUGAAAAAGUUCUCUUAAAGCAAGCAAAUGCAGAGACGUUAGCGGAUCAUGUCUCUCACUUCGUCUUGGAUUGGACCACGUUUUCUCAACUAAUAACCAUCUACCACGUCCUUUAACCCUAUACCUACAUCCCACCUAUUCAUUUGUUUUUUCGGCCGGAACUAACAUCUACAAAAUAAUUCGAAUGUGAUUUGUAGAGGGAUGGUUCUUUCUUCAAUAUCAAAAUCAAAAAGGGUCUAAGUUUUAUUUAAAUUUCAGGAUUGGUCAGAGGCAAUUUUACAAUAAUCUACCUAUGCCACCAUGACUUGAUUCCUCUGUACUGAAGUUGGGUUUCAUCUAAUCUCAUAUUGGUUUUUAGAAGAACUUUUUAUAUAGAGUUUAUUAAUUAAUGUAUUUGAUUUAAUAGGUUUGAAGUGCGAAUGAUUGGAAGUUGAAGUGCUAGAACUCGAAUUAAGGAGAUUGUGAAAUGAAAACAUUUGAAUGACGGUAACCAAGACAAGUAUCACAACUUAAAAGCAACCAAUCAAACCAUUGCUGAUCCAUCAUAUUAUUCAUGGCCUACUCUUUAUGUGCAGAGAAAUACUCAAAUCAAUGGGAACCCAAAAAGGAAUCAGAGGAAAUGUAAAGCGAAUUACAUUGAAAUGAAAAGUCUCGCCUAUCAACCAUUGUCUGUUUUAACAAGGGCCCUCUCUCACUAUUCUUGCCCAUCAAAGAUUAACAAGAAUAGCCUAAAUCAAAAUUCCCUGUUUCUUUAUUAUUAUUAUUAUUAUUAUUAUUAUUAUUAUUAUUAUUAUUAUAUCUUAAUUUUAAAACCAAAACAAAAAAAUAAAAAUAAAAAUUGAUGGUGCAAAGAAUUUGAACCCAUAUCAAAUUUUCUUCACGCUUCUUUACCUUUUACCUGCAGAGAAGAAUCAAUCGACAUGCCUGGUUUUGUUGGCACAGCGAGUGAGGUAGAGGAAGCCUGAAACAAGACUCAGACAAAAGUAGCGCAAUCAUCGAAUUUGAUUGCGAAUUUGUGAAGGAGAACAGAGCAGUCCUGAUGCAUCUGCCCCGAC
rnacentral:lncRNA from 1 species